UACAGAGGGGGCAAGCGUUGUUCGGAAUUACUGGGCGUAAAGGGCGCGUAGGCGGCCUUCUAAGUCGAACGUGAAAUCCCCGGGCUCAACCCGGGAACUGCGUCCGAUACUGGAAGGCUUGAAUCCGGGAGAGGGAUGCGGAAUUCCGGGUGGAGUGGUGAAAUGCGUAGAGAUCCGGAGGAACACCGAAGGCGAAGGCAGUGUCCUGGGGAGUACCUGACGCUCAGGUGCGAAAGCCAGGGGAGCGAACGGG
rnacentral:rRNA from 1 species